rnacentral:rRNA from 1 species
UACGGAGGGUGCAAGCAUUAAUCGGAAUUAUUGGGCGUAAAGGGCGCGUAGGCGGGUUUGUAAGUCAGAUGUGAAAUUCCAAGACUCAAUUUUGGAGCUGCAUUUGAAACUACAAGCCUCAGAGGAUAGACGGAGAAAACGGAAUUCCACAUGUAGCGGUGAAAUGCGUGGAUAUGUGGAAGAACACCGGUGGCGAAAGCGGUUUUCUAGUUUAUUCCUGACGCUGAUGCGCGAGAGCAAGGGGAGCAAACAGG